rnacentral:rRNA from 1 species
UACGGGGGGGGCAAGCGUUGUUCGGAAUUACUGGGCGUAAAGGGCGUGUAGGCGGCCUAUUAUGUCAGGUGUGAAAGCCCUCGGCCUAACCGAGGAAGUGCGCCUGAAACUGCUAGGCUUGAGUACGAGAGAGGAGGACGGAAUUCCCAGUGUAGAGGUGAAAUUCGUAGAUAUUGGGAGGAACACCGGCGGCGAAAGCGGUUCUCUGGAUCGAUACUGACGCUAAGACGCGAAAGCGUGGGGAGCAAACAGG